AGGAAGGAAGAAAGAAAGAAAGAAAGAAAGAAAGAAAGAAAGAAAGAAAGAAAGAAAGAAAGAAAGAAAGAAAGAAAGAAAGAAAGAAAGAAAGAAAGAAAGAAAGAAAGAAAGAAAGAAAGAAAGAAAGAAGGAAAGGAAGGAAGGAAGGAAGGAAGGAAGGAAGGAAGGAAGGAAGGAAGGAAGGAAGGAAGGAAGGAAGGAAGGAAGGAAGGAAGGAAGGAAGAAAGGAAGAAAGGAAGAAAGGAAGAAAGGAAGAAAGGAAGAAAGGAAGGAAGGAAGGAAGAAAGGAAGAAAGGAAGAAAGGAAGAAAGGAAGAAAGAAAGAAAGAAAGAAAGAAAGAAAGAAAGAAAGAAAGAAAGAAAGAAAGAAAGAAAGAAAGAAAGAAAGAAAGAAAGAAAGAAAGAGAGAAAGAAAGAAAGAGAGAAAGAAAGAAAGAGAAAAUCUUAUAUCUUACUUAGUAAUAAUGGUGUGUGUCCCAUACUUAGAAAGUUAUAUCAAAUGGUUUGUCUAAGGAAUGAAUAAAUGAAAUUAUUUGUCCAAGAACAAAAGUUAGCUCAGGUAAUAUAUAACAUCUUGCUCAUUCCUAGGGUUUAAUAUCCCUAGAAGCUGCCACAUCUCAACCCAAACUUAUCCAAACCUUCCUCAUCCUCUAAUUCUCCAUUAAAACCUUUCCUGACUAUUCUAGUCCACAGUGAUUUCUCAUUCCCCCAGACUCCUAUAGAACAGUGUUUCUCCACUAUUUAUCAAUGGCAAAUUUAAAAAAUUUAAAGCAUCUUUUGUUACCCAAAGACCUUUAUUUUUUAAAAAACCUAUCAAUUAUGUCUUUCCUUCCUUUCCUACUCCCUUCUCUUUUCAGCUGUAAGAUUUUAUGAUUCAGUUACCCUGCAUUAUUGUCAACCUAAAAUAAAUCUCCUCAGAAGGACCUACAAAUUAUUGAGCUAAUUCUUCUUUUACCAAUCCAAGUUUGAUCUCACUUAUUAGCUGCAGAUGCAUCAGGAGAAAUUGAGGCAUACAGAGGAAAAAAUGAUCAUCUACUGGUGAAAGUAGAGUCAGAGUUAGAAAGCUACAUCCUAAGAAUCAGAAACUCCAGGUUAACUACAUGUCAAGAAAUGUUUCCGACCCAGACAGCACGUACCUACCAGUUUGAGGUGGUGUUUUCAUUUCUCACAUGUGCCGAAGACCAGACUUCCAGUUGCAGGGCCCAGGACUGAGCCAGAUUCAGGUCAGAAAAAUGAGGGUGUCUCCUCUGAUGGCGAAGGCCCCCAAAGAAAGAGAGACCACGGAAGAGAAAAUAGGAGUGCAAAGAACAAGUCUAUACUUUGCCAUCUCUGGGGGGUUUUGAAGGCUUUUCUUAUUAGCCAGAUAUGUUCAGAAAUACCCAAGUCCCUUAAACCUCCAAGCCUCAGUUUACCUUCUCUACCAAAUGAGCAUAACUAUGCUUACAGGACUUAACCUUACAGCAUUAUUGAGGAAAGAACUUCAUAAACCUUCUAAGCACUAUAUAAAUGUGAGCUACGAGUAUUAUUGUUGUUGGAAGCAGCCUCACCCUGCUCACCUCAUCAUACCACAUCCACUUCAAGGAACCCUCUUUAAGAAACUUCUUGAAUUCCAAUGCUUUGCUAUUUAAAGAACUAACUACUAUAAAAGAAUGAAUUUCCCUCUGUUCUCAAGGCAUCACAUACAUUCUUAUCUGUUUGCAUGCUGGAUCAUACCUCACCCCAAAGAAUGUGACUUCAUGGAAAGAGCAGGGGGAAUUUGGUUUUUGUCUCUAUUUUCCCUGUGUCUAAAAAAGAGCCUUGUGCCUAUGGGGGACUUAAUAAUUGCUUCUUAGAAUAGAUAAGAUAACAUUUAAGAUUGGAUUAAUAAAUGUUACGGAUAGAAGGAUCCUUGGAGAUCAUCCAUUAGAUAGGAUCAGAUUAAUAAAUGUUAAAAAUGGAAGGAUCCUUGGAGACCAUCCAUUAGAUAAGAUCAGGUUAAUUAAUGUUAAAAAUAGAAGGAUCCUUAGAGAUCAUCUAUUAGAUAAGAUCAGGUUAAUAAAUGUUAAAAAUAGAAGGAUGCU